rnacentral:rRNA from 1 species
AUUGAACGCUGGCGGCAGGCCUAACACAUGCAAGUCGAACGAGUGGCGGACGGGUGAGUAAUGUCUGGGAAACUGCCUGAUGGAGGGGGAUAACUACUGGAAACGUUAGCUAAUACCGCAUACCAUCAGAUGUGCCCAGAUGGGAUUAGCUAGUUGGUGGGGUAACGGCUCACCAAGGCGACGAUCCCUAGCUGGUCUGAGAGGAUGACCCGCCACACUGGAGCUGAGACACGGUCCAGACUCCUACUGGAAGCAGCAGUGGGGAAUAUUGCACAAUGGGCGCAAGCCUGAGGCAGCAAUGCCGCGUGUGUGAAGAAGGCCUUCGGGUUGUAAAGUACUUUCAGCGGAGAGGCGUUACCCGCAGAAGAAGCAACGGCUAACUCCGUGCCAGCAGCCGCGGUAAUAC